UCUCAGGGCGGGGUGAAAGUCCCCACCGGCGGUAAGGGCUGCGGCCCGAGCCCGCGAGCGCCUUCCGAAGCUUUUGGCCGGGGAAGGGUCAGCAGAUCCGGUGCGAUUCCGGAGCCGACGGUAUAGUCCGGAUGAA
rnacentral:ncRNA from 1 species